GUCUACAGCCAUGCUACCCUGAACAAGCCCGAUCCUGUCUGAUCUUGGAAGCUAAGCAAGGUCGGGCAUGGUCAGUACUUGGAUGGGAGACCACCUAGGAAGACUAGGUGCUGUAGGCA
rnacentral:rRNA from 1 species